UUUGACAAAGAAAGAGAUAUUUACUUGGAACAGCACAGAGAAGAUUAGCAUGGCCCCUGUGUAAGGAGGACAUGAAAAUUCAUGAAGCAUUCCAUAUUUUU
ensembl:snRNA U6 U6 spliceosomal RNA